UCUAUAGCAGAGCUCAAGGAAGAUCAAGGGUCAAAGAGAGCUCGCUUCGAAUGAAAUGGGCAGAAGAGGAGGGCUGCAGAAAUACUCUGCAUAA